rfam:Cryomorphaceae bacterium BACL11 MAG-121001-bin54 contig03598_1_121001-bin54, whole genome shotgun sequence.
GGUAAUUACUGAUGCUAUCGCUUCAAUUUAUUGAAGAGGAAAGUCCGGACACCAUAGAGCAACAUAAUGGGUAACGCCCAUCUAUCGUAAGGUAUGGACAAGUGCAACAGAAAGCAAGUACAGUUCGGCUGUAGUGAAACCAGGCAAACUCUAUGUGGUGCAAUACCAUGUAUAUCAAGAUUUAAGAGCUGCUCGCUUUUUCUUGAGGGGUAGGUAGCUUGAGGCAAUAGGUAACUAUUGUCCUAGAUAAAUGAUAGCACUCUUAGGAGAACAGAAUCCGGCUUACGUGUAAUUACUAAUA